CUCCUACGGGGCGCAGCAGUCGGGAAUAUUGCGCAAUGGAGGAAACUCUGACGCAGUGACGCCGCGUGCAGGAAGAAGGUUUUCGGAUUGUAAACUGCUUUAGACAGGGAAGAAACAAGACAGUACCUGUAGAAUAAGCUCCGGCUAACUACGUGCCAGCAGCCGCGGUAAUACGUAGGGAGCAAGCGUUAUCCGGAUUUACUGGGUGUAAAGGGAGCGUAGACGGUAUGGCAAGUCUGAAGUGAAAGCCCAGGGCUUAACCCUGGGACUGCUUUGGAAACUGUUAGACUAGAGUGCUGGAGAGG
rnacentral:rRNA from 1 species